rnacentral:misc_RNA from 1 species
UGCCCUCAAGCCCGGUUGUGUGCUUGGGCCCUGUCCCCCUCUCCGGGGGACAGGCCCGAAAGGCAGCGGCGGCACCGAGUCCGGUCCUCGAGCGUAUGGGGCUUUGUCACCCGCUCUGUAGGCCCGGCCGGCGCCAGCCGACAACCCAUCAUCCUUUUCAGGUUGACCUCGGAUCAGGUAGGGAUACCCGCUGAACUUAA